CAAGAAAUAGUUUAUAAAAAAUUUUAAUUUUGGAUAUUAAAGAUAGGGAAUUCCCUUUUCUUGA
rnacentral:tRNA from 1 species